rnacentral:rRNA from 1 species
CCUACGGGCUGCAGCAGUGGGGAAUAUUGCACAAUGGGCGCAAGCCUGAUGCAGCCAUGCCGCGUGUGUGAAGAAGGCCUUCGGGUUGUAAAGCACUUUCAGCGGGGAGGAAGGCGAUAAGGUUAAUAACCUUGUUGAUUGACGUUACCUACAGAAGAAGCACCGGCUAACUCCGUGCCAGCAGCCGCGGUAAUACGGAGGGUGCGAGCGUUAAUCGGAAUUACUGGGCGUAAAGCGCACGCAGGCGGUUUGUUAAGUCAGAUGUGAAAUCCCCGGGCUCAACCUGGGAACUGCAUCUGAUACUGGCAAGCUUGAGUCUCGUAGAGGGGGGUAGAAUUCCAGGUGUAGCGGUGAAAUGCGUAGAGAUCUGGAGGAAUACCGGUGGCGAAGGCGGCCCCCUGGACGAAGACUGACGCUCAGGUGCGAAAGCGUGGGGAGCAAACAGGAUUAGAUACCCCCGUAGUC